AACGAACGCUGGCGGCAGGCCUAACACAUGCAAGUCGAGCGAACCCUUCGGGGUUAGCGGCGGACGGGUUAGUAACGCGUGGGAAUAUACCCUUUGGUACGGAAUAGCCUCGGGAAACUGAGAGUAAUACCGUAUGUGCCCUUCGGGGGAAAGAUUUAUCGCCAAAGGAUUAGCCCGCGUUGGAUUAGAUAGUUGGUGGGGUAAUGGCCUACCAAGUCUACGAUCCAUAGCUGGUUUGAGAGGAUGAUCAGCAACACUGGGACUGAGACACGGCCCAGACUCCUACGGGAGGCAGCAGUGGGGGAAUCUUAGACAAUGGGCGCAAGCCUGAUCUAGCCAUGCCGCGUGGACGAUGAAGGCCUUAGGGUUGUAAAGUCCUUUCAGAUGGGAAGAUAAUGACGGUACCAUCAGAAGAAGCCCGGCUAACUCCGUGCCAGCAGCCGCGGUAAAGUCGAUAUCG
rnacentral:rRNA from 1 species